GCGGGGAGACGGAGCCCGGGCAGAGGACCCGAACCACCUCUGGGACCCUCCACCAACCCAUGAAGCCUCUCUGCUUCCCCAUGAGACCGUACCGGCACCUGACCAGGGUCUGGAGACCUCCAGAGGUAACCACCAGUCAGCUCUGGGAGUUUGGGAUCACUAACUUAACCUGUCACUUCAGAGAGCUCAGACGUGGCCAGAGAGUCUGGGAGCUACACAGAGGAGGUGGCACCAGGAGGACUCUCCUGAUGACACUUUCUUCCUGCUUCUCAUGCAAUAUGAAAGCAGGUUCCAAAGUGCAGAGGGUCAGAGGUGACAGUUCCUGGCCGUGAAGUGGGAAUUUCAACCAGUCUCUCUGCAGACCAGUAAGGACCCAGGUGUGUCAUCCCACCUGCAGAAGGUGGGGACAAGUUAUAAACUCUCUGCUUUAAGGACAAGGGAAUAACUAUUGCCACAUAGAGGAGGAUGGUUAAGUCUUGAUGAAGGUAAAGCCUUAUCCUUAGCUUGCCCUGCAGCUCCCCACCAAAGCAGGUGUCUGGCUCUGCUUCCAGCUGACAGCUCCAGACAGGAGCCAGGUAAUGUCAGCAGGAGCAUCAGGCAGGCCUUGGCAGUGGUGGGCAAGCCUGGAUCCUCCGAGCCGGCAGCAGGUGGAGGAGGAGCUGGACACGGCAGCUCUUCUGUAGGAGCUGCAGCUGGUCCUGGGGCUGCAGAGCCCGAGGAGACAAGCAAUGGCACACGGGGAGAGCCGGGUAAGGGGGCUCUGAGCCACGGCUGGUGAGCUGCCCACGGGGUCGGGUUGAGCAGGUCAGGUUUCGGUUCCUAAGGGCUGGGGUUUGUUGUGCGUUUGUUGUCACCAUGACAGCCCUGUUGGGAUGGAGCAUGGUCCUUGGCCGCUCCCGCUGCUCCUCACGCAGCCCGGAAAAGGAAGCCCGGGAGGAGGCUGUGACUUGGUCCGCAGCCCACGGCACGGGCAGGAAUUGACAGGGAGGUUGCACAGGUCCUGUGAUGUGGUGGAGGAGCAUGCACACGGAUCAGUGCUCAGCUCGCCGGGGGACUUUCCCUUCUAAUCAGGGUCACGAUGUUCCCAGGCUGUCUCCUGCCCCAGGGACAUAAUGAGCUGAACACUCCAGCGCUCACCCCAGACACUGCGGGGCUCACACACGGCUGCAUCCCCGAGGUGCAGCUUCGGCUGCUGGGCUGGUUCCUGCUAGGACCGUGUCCUUCCCCCCACCCUCAGACGGGGUUCGGAGGGCUGUGACUGCUCAGGGUUCAGCUCAGAGACUGCACGAGGCCACAAGCACAACCUCCGGGCACCCUCUGUGCUCACCCUCAUCCCCUUUGCCCGUGUCUUCCCCCGAGGCUGGGCACCGCAGCCUCCCGGGACUCAUCCCGUUUCAGGAAUGAGUCUCUGGCUCGGCUGUGUCUGGGGUGGGAUGAGGUUAUGCGGGAACGCCGUUUCUCUAGCGCGAGUUGCUACAAAACAGAGGGAAGUGUUUCGGAGGUUGUGCAAUAUGUACACGGUCACCCCAGCAACAGCGUGUCCACAAGGCAUUAGCGGGGCUUAGCUGCGGCUGCUGAGCGGGGCGAUGGGGACCGGGCCGUGCCCGGUCCGUGCCCGGUC